rnacentral:rRNA from 1 species
UACGUAGGCAGCGAGCGUUGUUCGGAAUUAUUGGGCGUAAAGAGCUCGUAGGCGGUCUGUCACGUCGGAUGUGAAAACUCGGGGCUCAACCCCGAGCCUGCAUUCGAUACGGGCAGACUAGAGUUCGGUAGGGGAGACUGGAAUUCCUGGUGUAGCGGUGAAAUGCGCAGAUAUCAGGAGGAACGCCGGUGGCGAAGGCGGCCUGCUGGGCAGUUGCUGACACUGAGGCGCGACAGCGUGGGGAGCAAACAGG